CAGAGGCAAGACACAAAGCUGCUUCAUAAUCCAUGGUCAAACCAGUGCCAGCAGUUCUACCUCUGAGGUCACAGAUAGUCAUGUCUCCCAAAUAAUUCCACAGGCAAGACUGCUCCUGGACCAUGCUUGAAGGGGCUAGAGUUGGAUCAUGCACUACUUCAGGGUCCAUAACCUGAACUGAAGUCCCAGGCUUUUCACUUGAGUGCUGUACAUGUGUGUCCUUCAGGUAAUGAUGAAGCCUCUACAGAGCUCUCUUCUCAGCCUUGCUCUGCCAUUUCUGCUGCUAUUGCAGCAGUGACACUGGAAUCCCUGAAGCAUCAAAUCUUGAAUUGGAGACAUGGAUACAUAAUAAGUAGUCCUUUAAAGAACAUAUGGAGAAGGUAG
ensembl:lincRNA